rnacentral:lncRNA from 1 species
AAAACUGCCGAAAUCAAGAAAAGACAGAAUUUGCGUUCUCAGUGAAAUACCUUUAAACCUAGCUGACAAGAACCAAGUCAGAAAAAAAGACUAACAUAAUCUUGAGUAAUAUUCAUACAGUUCACUAAGCAUUAUGGAAUAGCAUGCAUUAAUAUUGUACGGUUAUUUUACAUCACCUAUACCAGAAGGUCCUGACUGACAGACAGCGAAGGCUACCGGUGUAGAAAAAUCUUACUUCAGAAGAGCAAUAUAAUACAGAUUUCACAGGCACUACAUUUUAAUAUAUCAGGUAUUAUGCUGGUUUUCUUAUAAUUCUUUCUGUCCUAAAGCUGGCAUUAUAACAAUGACCAAAAAGGCAAGGAUUGAAGUAAACGGAAAGUAGAUACCAAAGUUGAUAUAGUUUUUUUCUUCAGAUAGGUUAGUGCAUAGUUCUCAUGCAGAUAAACACUGCUAUGCAUUUACACUGUUGGAAAGCAGAGUGAAUUGAGCCCAAGUUGUCACAUUUGUGUAAAUCAUUUUGUCAGCCUGUAAUAGCACCAUGUAAUGGAUUUGCAUUAAACAUUAAAUUGAUUUCAGGAUUGGUGACACAGUAUUCACUACAGUUAAGUGCUAUGGAAUAGCUUCAAUGUUACCUGCUAUAUAUCAAAGCAAUUUUCAUCCCACUGCUUUUUUAUUGGAAAAAAUAAAAGGAAAACAUACACGACACUAAUUAGACGAAUGCACAGCCUUGGACGUGGAGAAGGCAGAGCGGGUUUACUGUCAAACAGUAAAUACAUGCAUUGACUUCAGGACGAAAGUGGCCUUGGAAAAGCUGAUUUGAAUGAAAGCUGUGCUGGGGGCAGUGCAGCUUUCUGAGACUGUCUUAAAUCUUAGGACAGGUCUCGGAGGGUGGGUGGUAAGGUGCCACUGAAGCUCUCCGUACAUUACCAUGCCAGUUGUGUUUUAAAUUUGUUCUAUGGAGGCCUGCUACCAGGAAAAAGAGACAAGAAGAAAAAGAAAGAAAGAAAAUGAAAGAGAGAGAGACCACUACAGCUAUGGACAAAAUGAUACUUCCAGAGACAUGAUGCCAUGUACAUUAAAUGACAUUCUUAGAAACCCCUCCCCACCAAAAAAAAAAAAAAUCAAAAGGAAAACUUUUUUUUUCUUAAUCCAGAUUUUGUAAAUACUUUAUGACACUGUAACUACAGAAUUCAAAGCCUAUGAGGAUAAGGACUUGAAAAGUAAAAGACAAACUUUUUGAGACGGGGUUUUGCGUCUUCCAGUGGGCUGUCUGAAUACUGUGACUCUGGGAAGUCUGGGUUCCUUUACACUUCACCUGUCAGAAUGUGAAGAAUACACGCUUCGGGAAGUGGACCUUGGCCCGCCUGUAGCCCACGCCUGACUGCGGGGUGGGGGCGGGGAGGAGCUGACAUAGUAACUGUCAUGCCAGGGUGUGAAGAAAGAGAAAA